rnacentral:rRNA from 1 species
GACGAACGCUGGCGGCGUGCUUAACACAUGCAAGUCGAACGAAGAGCGAUGGAAGCUUGCUUCUAUCAAUCUUAGUGGCGAACGGGUGAGUAACGCGUAAUCAACCUGCCCUUCAGAGGGGGACAACAGUUGGAAACGACUGCUAAUACCGCAUACGAUCUAAUCUCGGCAUCGAGGAUAGAUGAAAGGUGGCCUCUACAUGUAAGCUAUCACUGAAGGAGGGGAUUGCGUCUGAUUAGCUAGUUGGAGGGGUAACGGCCCACCAAGGCGAUGAUCAGUAGCCGGUCUGAGAGGAUGAACGGCCACAUUGGGACUGAGACACGGCCCAGACUCCUACGGGAGGCAGCAGUGGGGAAUCUUCCGCAAUGGACGAAAGUCUGACGGAGCAACGCCGCGUGAGCGAUGACGGCCUUCGGGUUGUAAAGCUCUGUUAAUCGGGACGAAAGGCCUUCUUGCGAAUAGUGAGAAGGAUUGACCGUACCGGAAUAGAAAGCCACGGCUAACUACGUG